GCGCGGGACGCCGAGCCCACGCGCGCCUGCCGGGACAAGUGGAGACGAGGCCGGCGAGCGGACGCCCCGAGGUGCCCGGGCAGGCAGUGGGCCGCCGAGCGGGAGUUGAGGUUGGCGAAGGAGCUGUGGCCGGGUCCCCUUCUUAUCCAGCCCGAGACACUGCGCUCCGGUGGGCGUCCCUGCGCUGGGAAUCCCUCUCGGAGUUUUUCCAGGCCCGGCCGGGUUGCUCCGGGAAAGGCCCUGUUGGGGGAGGUGGGCCCGGAGCUGGCAGGUCUACAAUCCGGUUGGAAGGGCUCGCAGUGGGUGAUUCAGGGUGCCAAUGACCUCCCCGCGAACGGGAACGCCCGCACUAGACAACCAGCCCCAGACCGGCAUUCCCAGAGCCGCAGGCGGGAGGGACGCAGGGACUCCGGGACAGCAAAUCCCCGGGGGAGAAGGGAAGGGGGAAGGCGGGACAGGGGAGGCCCACCCUCCUUGGGCUCCGCUAGCGACCAGCCAGCGCCCCUUCAGACGCAGCCUUCCUGGCUCCGGACCCCGGCUUUCUGCUCCGGUCCUCGUCCCAAUGCCCCCCAAGGUCCCCAGCAGAGGCAUUCAGGUUCCUCCUCGCCCCGCCCAGACGCAGCUUCUUUGGGUAUGGGUGACAGCACUCCUGAGCGUCGCUGUCCCUAUUCGCUGCCGUUGCCAGCUCCGAUUCCGCGAAACCUCUCCGGCACCACCUCGGAAGCCCCGCCCAGGGCGAUGGUCCGGGCCUAACCUGCCGGCCCCGCCCACCCGGCCCUUGGGCUCCCUGAGGCCCGCCCAGCAGACUCGAGGAACGCUUGACAAAGUGGCGAAGGAGCCCUACGGGAGUCCCGGAUUGGACCCUGCUCCUUCGGUCCCUCAGCCUCGGCAAGCCGCGGUCUCCUGGCCCUUGGCCUGGGUCACCUUAGGAGGCAGGAGGAGAUGUGGUCAGUGUGGGAGCUUGGAGGGGCCAUGCACUUCCGGAGAAGACCACCGACUCAUGGCUUUGGUGGAGGGGCGCCGGCAGAUUUAGUUAAGCUCUCCCCCAUCCCUGACACACCCAGCCGGGGCGGGAGCGGGGCUUGUGACCACUCCGGAGAGCUUUGAGGGCCCCUGCUUUGGGACUCCGCACGGACAGUCACUGUCUCAGAGUGCAUUCUCCAGGGGCCACUCUCUUGGGGACACUGUAGGGGUCACAGGGCAGGUGGGCAGCCUCUCUCGGGGGGCGGCGUGAGAGCCGGAGAGCAGGGGGCGGGGGCGGGCCCGGCUCGGGCUCACGUCUGCGUUGAAGCCGCUGGGGAAGGGGAGAGAAACCGAGAGAACCGGUUCCCCCGCCUUGACAGCGGAGGCCCCCACACCAAGGCCCUUGGACUAAGCGGGGCAGGGACAGCCUCCAGGUAGAGCUGUUCGCCGGGGCGCCUGCAGAGCCCGCAUCCCAACCCUGACCCCGGGGCCGGGGCGCAGGCUCCUGGAGGGAGGCGUCCAGGCGGGACAGGGCCCGGGGAGCGGCAGGAAAUGGGCUGCUCUUCCCACUUGACUGACGGGAAAACUAAGGCACGGUCAACUAUCAAGCAAGCGUGGUGUCGACCUUAGAGCAGGUAAUCACCCCUCGUUUUAAAGCCAAAGUUUCCCUCGCAGUCGAUUUGGACCAAGACUACCCACAAUCUCCCCACCGCAGGACUGAAGCGAGGCUGAAAUCUUAGAAUCAACCCCACGGAAUGAAGAGGUUGUCCUAAUUCCAGCACUGAGUGUAAGAAUGGAAGCCUUGCAUGUGAUUUUAUUCAAGUCCUCAUUUUAGAAAUGGGAAAACUGAGGCCCGAAGGCGAACGGCAAGUGCAGCAUCGGGACUCGAACCCAAGUCUCUCCUCGAGUGCUGGGCUAUUCCGGGCUCAGUGGUCUUGACUUCCGCGGCCCUCUUCCUUGUUGCCUGCAGGAAAAUGCCGCGGCCGCAAUGGCGGCGGAUGUGGAGGGGGACGUGUACGUACUGGUGGAGCACCCCUUCGAGUACACCGGCAAGGACGGGCGCCGCGUGGCCAUCCCGCCCAAUGAGCGCUACCGGCCGCUGCGGCGCAGCACAGAGCACUGAGCAUUGGUGGCACGUGCGGCGCAAGCCCGGCGGCCGCCCCUUCUACCUGCCCGCGCAGUACGUGCGCGAGCUGCCUGCGCUGGGCAACCCUGCCGCUGACGCGCCGCCAGGUCCCCCCAUCGGGACCCGCAGCCCCUGAGCCGCUCGCCUACGACUACCGGUUCGUGAGCGCGGCUGUGGCAGCGGCCCCCAACGGCCCCCCAGCGGAGCCCCGAGGCGGGGCCAGCUCCCUGUGCGGCCCUGCGCAGCGCGGCGCCGCGAGCCAGCGCAGCAGCCUGGCGCCCGGCCUGCCCGCCUGCCUGUACCUGCGGCCCACGGCGCCCGUGCGGCCCGCGCAGUCCCUGGACGACCUGACGCGCGCCGUCGUCUCGCCUCCCGCCGGCAACCUCGGAAGCAGCGGCAGCUUCAAGGCCUGCAGCGUAGCGGGCUCCUGGGUGUGCCUGCUGCCCCUGUCGCGCAGCGACUCAGAGAACGUCUAAGAGGCCAUCCAGGAGGUACGCGGCCCGCCGCGGUAGGAGAUCGUGAAGCAGGUACGACCCCGGGCGCGGAGGCGGGGAGGCUCGCUGAGGACAGCGCCCGCAGGGAGCCUGGGCUCGAGGAGACCCACUCCGCUCAGCGUCGGGCAUGACGCCCACCUCUGUCGGAAGACUUCGGAUGAGCUCCCUCUCCCCAGCCGCGAAACAGUGCAGGCCCCCAUCCCUCAUCUGCAAUUUCCAGGCUCCAAAGCUCCCUGGAAGCCCGAAAGAUUUUUCGUAAUCAAAUUGGUGGCAAAAUUGCGCUUGAACUGA